GCCUACGACCAUAUCACCCUAAAUGCGCCCGAUCUCGUCUGAUCUCGGAAGCUAAGCAUGGUCGAGCCUGGUUAGUACUUGGAUUGGAGACUGCCUGGGAAUACCAGGUGUUGUAGGCU
ensembl:rRNA 5S_rRNA 5S ribosomal RNA